GAUGAAGAACGUAGCGAAACGCGAAAGGUAAUGCGAAUUGCAGAAUCAGUGAGUCAUCGAAUCUUUGAACGCACAUUGCGCCCCCUGGUAUUCCGGGGGGCAUGCCUGUUCGAGCGUCAUUUCACCACUCAAGCCUCGCUUGGUAUUGGGCAACGCGGUCCGCCGCGUGCCUCAAAUCGACCGGCUGGGUCUUCUGUCCCCUAAGCGUUGUGGAAACUUUCGCUAAAGGGUGUUCGGGAGGCUACGCCGUAAAACAACCCCAUUUCUAAGGUUGACCUCGGAUCAGGUAGGGAUACCCGCUGAACUUAAGCAUAUCAAUAAGCGGAGGA
rnacentral:misc_RNA from 1 species